rnacentral:lncRNA from 1 species
UCAUAAUAUCCAUAACAUUCUAUGCAUGGCAAUCACAUCAUAUUUCAUUUCAUUUCAAUAUAUUUUUCAUUUAAAUUUGAUUUCUGGGGAAAUCGAGUAUAUAGGUAUAUAUAUAUAUAGAAAGCAAUGCCCACUCACUGGUAUGUCGCCGGGUCGUAACCCCCUUGACGCCCCUGGAUGUGCUCGUCCUCGUUAUAAGUUCCACCUAGAAGUGAAAUAACUUAAAACAAUCAUUUAACGCACAAUUAACGCACCUAAACCAAACUAGGUAAAAAAAUUCUUCAUACGAUGCUCAAAUUGGGUAUAUGAAUAUAUAUACACAGUGACCUACACAACCUCAGGAUCAUCCCCAAAUUUUUAAAAUAAUUUUUGGAGUCCUCACGCGCCCCCACGCGCCUGACGUGGCACGGACCUACGCGCGG